GACGUAGGAGGCGAGCGUUGUCCGGAUUCAUUGGGCGUAAAGAGCACGCAGGCGGUUUGGCAAGUCGGAUGUGAAAACCCGGAGCUCAACUCCGGACCUGCAUCCGAAACUGCCCGACUAGAGGUAGGUAGGGGAGAUCGGAAUUCCUGGUGUAGCGGUGAAAUGCGCAGAUAUCAGGAGGAACACCCGUGGCGAAGGCGGCUCUCUGGGACGGUACUGACGCUGAGACGCGAAAGCGUGGGGAGCGAACAGG
rnacentral:rRNA from 1 species